CAAAAACAAGUCUGAUAGCAGUCCAACGGUUGGCGUGUGUGCUCGGUCCUGACAAGGCGGUGCACCUGCCGAACCACAUUUACACACCUACUGAUUCACUGCAGGGCAUCCAUGUCCAGGCUUGUUUAAGACGUCCCAGGUCCCGUGCGGAAUGGAAGCUCAGUUACAGGAUCACGCAAAGGCUCCCUGAGGCUUAACAAGGGUUGCCGACGCAGACAAACUCAGGCAAUCUGCGCUCUCUGAGGUCGACAGUAAAAGCUGCAUACAAGGAGGGACACCAGGAAGCCGAGCAGACACAAAGGAUGAGACUCAACAUAGACUAGAAACAAACGCUGACAGGCAAAUGUGGGAAGCUGAGUUUUUCAGAGCAAACAUGGUUAUUCCCACACAGACAUUUAUGAUAAAAUGAGCGCAGCUGUUUUCCAGUAUGCUGGUAUUUAAAAAAACAAAACAAAGCAAUAAAAGAUGUUGCCUGCUUGGGUUGAUGAUUUAUAUAAAACAAAAUCAAAACAGAUUAUGAGCUCCUCACAGACAGCAGUGGCUGUACUCUAGAGACAUUUUUUGUUUUGUGAAAAGCCAAAGCCAAAAUGUUUGGACCAUGUGGCAGAUGAAGGAGCAAAAGCAAACACACACUUCUGAGCGGGGCGGCUGCGGCUGUCUGACUGAGCCAAACCAUAGCUGAGGAGACCCACUCAAAGAAAGAUCUGGUGCAGUUUGGCAUACACCGAGCACGGAGAGUUCAAAUGUACCGAAGACUUUGUUGGAUAAGAGGAAUCCGAGCAGUAUUUCUCGUGCGCCACUUCAAGACACUGAAGAUAAAAUGUCAGCAGUCCUAAGGUUCUGGCUUCCUCCCAAGAGACCCUCAGAUGCACCCAAUCUGGGGCCAGCUGUUCCCUCACUCCCGUUUUCUCUUAAAGUAAAUGUCUUGUUGCGCUACAGGCUCUCUGACUUUUAACUUCAUUAAGAUCUCAUUCUGCAUUCAUUACCACGGUUGUACAUUUCUGCUAUAAACAGAAGAAGUAAGAAGGGGGCAGGACAGUGCAACAUUAUCACAAAUUGUGUUGACCUCAGGCUCUAAAAUUGAUGAACCCCAUUUUUUACUGGCUGAAAGCCGAUGACCACUGGAAGAGAACCUGACUGAAAACAUGAAUAAGGUCAAAUGCUUUAAAAAGAAGAAAAGACACAAAGUCACUGACAUCUAUCGAACUGGAUAGGGUAGCAAAGACAUUUCUUUGGGACUCCAACAAACAAAUAUCACUCCAAGAACACAAAAGCCCGUCUCAUAUUUAUCAUAAAUACAUGGACAUAUGGACUGUCAAAUAGAGUGGCGGUAGAGUGCUGUCUGGGGCUGCUUUUCUGUUUCUGGACUUUACUGACCUUGACAAUACUAUGAUGUUUUUGGACCAUGCAGUAAUACUAUGAUUUAAAGCACACCAGUAAGCUCACAGCUGAAAGGCUAAAAAACGCUUUGGAGUGGCCUAGUCAAAUCUGCACUUGCUGUGACAUGACUGGUCAUACUGGAAAACCUUUCAAUGUGCCUUAAUUAAAACAGUUUUACAAGGAGGAAUGAGCCAAAAUUUCUUCUCCUUGAGACAACAAGGGACAGUGAAGCAGGAAGAGUUGAGGAGGAUGUAUGGAGCUAAAUACAUGACGGGCUAUAAUACAAAUG